rnacentral:rRNA from 1 species
UUUAAGGUCUAACCUGCCCAAUGAGGAUUUAAAUGGCCGCAGAAUUUUGACUGUGCAAAGGUAGCAUAUUUAUUAGUUUUUUAAUUGAAAGCUUGUAUGAAGGNUUGGACGAGAUGAAAUCUGUCUUUAUUUAAAUUAAAAUAUAAUUUAACUUUUAAGUAAAAAGGCUUAAAUGUUUAUAAAAGACGAGAAGACCCUAUAGAUCUUUAUUUAAUUAAAGUUUUAAUAAUUUAGGAUUAUUUUAAUUUAAAGUUUUAAUUAAAUUUUAUUGGGGUAAUAUAAAGAUUAAAUAAAUUCUUUUUAUUUAUAACAUUGAUUUAUGAAUAAAUGAUCCAUUAAUAUUGAUUAUAAGAUUAAGUUACCUUAGGGAUAACAGCGUAAUUUUUUUGGAGAGCUCAUAUCGAUAAAAAAGUUUGCGACCUCGAUGUUGGAUUAAAAAUUAGCUUGGGUGCAGAAGCUCAAGAUUUUGGUCUGUUCGACCAUUAAAUUUUUACAUGAUCUGAGUUCAGACCGGCGUGAGCCAGGUCGGUUUCUAUCUUUAUUAAGAUAAAAUGUUUUAGUACGAAAGGACCAAAUAUUUAAUAUAAUUAUAUUUAUUUUUUGAAGAAUAUU